GGGGAAGGUGUUUUAAGAUUUGGGUAUAUAUUUUUUUACCUACUCUAAUUUGGUUAUAUUUAAGUAAAUUUCUCUGAUUUGAGUCUGUUUUGCCUGUGACAGUAAUUGAUUAGCAUCCCUUCAGAUCAAGCCUUGAAGUUCCCACAGUCGUCACUCUGGUGAUCCUGCUUAGAGCUGAUGCAAAUCACCAGCUUGGUGCUGGCAGCUGCAGUUCAUUUUUGAUGAUGCCUGACACAAGGACAGAAAGUCAAUAUUAAUUGUAGGUUUUCUGUCAAAAGAUAUUCAUCUGGGAAAAAAGGAAAAAAGUAAAGAAAGCUCUUCUGUCCCCCGAAAUGAAAUUAUGUCAUCAUGGAGAAGAAUAAGAACGCUGUCAUUUCUGUCCAUUAGGACUCUGUAUGUUUUGAUUUUUCAUGUGACCUUUUCUAUUCAAAAUAAAAUGGAUCUUUCCUCUACAUACAACUGA